rnacentral:rRNA from 1 species
AUUGAACGCUGGCGGCAGGCCUAACACAUGCAAGUCGAGCGCGAAAGUUCUUCGGAAUGAGUAGAGCGGCGGACGGGUGAGUAACGCGUGGGAAUCUGCCCAGUAGUGGGGGACAACGUCUCGAAAGGGACGCUAAUACCGCAUACGCCCUACGGGGGAAAGGGGGGGAUCUUCGGACCUCUCGCUAUUGGAUGAGCCCGCGUCGGAUUAGCUAGUUGGUAGGGUAAAGGCCUACCAAGGCGACGAUCCGUAACUGGUCUGAGAGGAUGAUCAGUCACACUGGAACUGAGACACGGUCCAGACUCCUACGGGAGGCAGCAGUGGGGAAUAUUGGACAAUGGGCGAAAGCCUGAUCCAGCCAUGCCGCGUGUGUGAAGAAGGCCUUCGGGUUGUAAAGCACUUUCAGUGGGGAGAAAGGCCCUUUACCUAAUACGUAAGGGGAUUGAUGUUACCCACAGAAGAAGCACCGGCUAACUCCGUGCCAGCCGCCGCCGUAA